rnacentral:rRNA from 1 species
GUCCAGACUCCUACGGGAGGCAGCAGUGAGGAAUAUUGGUCAAUGGGCGCAAGCCUGAACCAGCCAAGUCGCGUGAGGGAUGACGGUCCUAUGGAUUGUAAACCUCUUUUGUCGGGGAGCAAGGCCCGCCACGUGUGGCGGGAAGGAGAGUACCCGAAGAAAAAGCAUCGGCUAACUCCGUGCCAGCAGCCGCGGUAAUACGGAGGGGGCGAGCGUUAAUCGGAAUUACUGGGCGUAAAGCGCUCGUAGGCGGUAUGUCAAGUCAAGGGUGAAAUCCCCGCGCUCAACGUGGGAACUGCCUUUGAAACUGGCAAACUGGAGUGUGUGAGAGGAUAGUGGAAUUCCAGGUGUAGGAGUGAAAUCCGUAGAUAUCUGGAGGAACAUCAGUGGCGAAGGCGACUAUCUGGCACAUAACUGACGCUGAGGAGCGAAAGCGUGGGUAGCAAACAGGAUUAGAUACCCGGGUA